GUCGAUUUGUUUAAACGCAGAACUACACUGGCAGUAGCGCAAUAUCUUGUUAUCAUACUCCUCGUAGUCGCUCCCUUUCUUUUGGCCUCAUUACCUUUUAUACACUCCUUUCUGUUUGUUUUAUUCUUACUCCCUUCAUCUCUCCAGUUCUCCAUCUCCCUGUGCGUUACUUUCUCCUCCUCAUAACUGUAGUGACCAUCCCCCCCGCUCUUUUCUUUUGCUGUGGGAGGUGAAGGUGUGUAAGAAUAAUUCAAAUGAAGGGAGAACAACAGAAGUUAGAAGCAGGGCAGACACUUGAAGCAGUAGUCGUUGCAGACAAGAGGAGGAGCAUCAAGGACAGUCAUUUUCCUAGCCAGUCAGUCGUUAAGUUAGUCAGUCAUUCUGAACAGACUGUACCCUCACAGUGGCUUCCUCUUAACUCUAUUUCAUGGAUGUAGAGGGAGAGGUAGCACUCACUUUGCAAAACAUGAAAGAACACUUUAUGUGGAAAAGUUCCCUUUGGAUUCAUUUUGUUUUCGUGCUCAGUGUCAAAAUAUUGACACAGGAGGGAGAAAGCAAACUGUGUUUUACUCUCAUGUAUCAGACUUUUUGUCAUUUUGAAUUAUUGAUAAUCCUAUAAGGCGGGUUGUGCUGGACACGAGGCUAUCCUCAGGUCUUUCUUUUACACAUCUGAAGUGGUAGUACCUGUGGAACUGGCAAUCUGUAGCUAGCAAUCUAAAGCUCUUUUUUUGUUACAACUGUAGCGUUGCUUAGGGCUAAACAACAGACUGAGCAGAUUUUUGUAAAACACCUGGCCCCAGGCCUUGCAGGCCUUUCAAAGUGUUUGGCUAAUGGCAAAUUGUAGAGGCUGUAGAUGGCUGUGUUGGGACCAAAAUAAUCAUAUGUAGCAGUGUUGGGAAAAAGACAAAGAGGUAGAAUAUGUAAGGUGUGGACUAAAGGUGACCUUUCAUAUGAUAUGAGCAAACAGUUACAGUGCUAAUCCAUACAGCUCCACUAGCAGCUACAUUAUCGUUUUGUAUACUGUUUAUUGCUGAAAAUACUUGUGACACAGUAACCAAAAUAAUAAAAUAUCUCACUACUGUACAGCUGUGCAUCUUAAUUUUCUUUCAAAGUCACAGCAAAUCAGUGAACUUCUGUCACGUUCGUACAAUAUAAUAUUAUAUAACAAUAUAAUAAAUCUAAUAUUUAUAUUGUACGAACGUGAUAAUUAUGUAUAUUGUAUAUUGUAAUAAAGUGAUAUUAUAUUCUACAAACAUGAAAAGCAUAUUGUUAGAACAAUAAACUUUUCACCUUAUAACGUGAUAUAGCUCUAUUUUUCUUUUGCCUGGGUGGCAGCUCUAUGCUCCUGUAAUUUGGUUAUCAAAAUACGUAACUUAAUUAAUUAUAUUGUGACGUACUUUAGCCUUUUCUUAUUAUUCUGCCUUCUCAGAAAGGGAAAAUUUUUUACAAAUAAAAUUGUUUACACUUGUUAUAUACAAUAACUAUCAAAACCUAUUUACAUUUAAUUUGACUUUCACAGAAAUCCCACCUCUCUUUCUGGCUACAGAGCACUUACUUACCAAGCCCAUGAAAUCGAAUGCAGAUCUUCCUGAGGUAAGAUUUAUGUCACGGUCCCUGUGUCUGGUUGGCCCACGCUGGCUACAGGUUUUGUUGUUGUUAGUUUUUGUUUUCUUUGUCUCUCCUCCUCCUCUCUGCCUGGGUGGAGCUCGUUACGGGCUCUCGCUCUUGGCCCACACACCUGUGUGAUUGUGUCCACCUGCUGCUGAUCUGGCUGAUUUCCCCAGCUGCUAUUUAAGGCAGUGGCACUGAGCAGCUCACCGCUGGAACGUUGAACCUCCUGAGUUCGUGCUCUCGGCAUUUUCAAAAAGAAUCCCUUGUAUGUAUUUUUCUGUGGAACUAACCUUAACUUCUGUGUGUAGAUAUCCCUCUUCUGGACCAAAUCACGGGACCUGCCCAAGUGUGGCAGCGUGUGUGGAGUUUUGGAGCGAGUGCGGCUGAACAGGAGUGCGUGUGUGCGGAGGAGCUGUGGCGGUGAUUGUGUGGAAGAGGAAGCGUGUGUGUGGAUUCCCCCCCCUUCUCUCCCUAGAGCCCUGGACCCCCCUCCCAACUCACUGUACAUAUAUAUAGCACUAAGGUGAUCCCUGUUGUGAAUAAAUCUCCUUUUGUUCUCUGCGAAAGAACUGUCUGUGUGUGAGUCCGUUCAGUAGCCAUGACAAUUUACAUAAAUCUAAGUAAUUUGUUUGUCGUUAUCAUUAAUGUUGUUGCUGUUGUUGUUUUUGUGCAAUUUAAAAUCAUAUAAACCUAGCAAGCAUCAGACAGCACUGUGCCUAACCUAAACAGAUUCAUGCUUUAUUCACAUAUAUUAUAUGUAAUUAUAUAUACUUGUACAUUGUACCUAGGGUUGCAGCCACUUGGCCCUGCCCCAUUGUUCUGACAGCCCUGAUUGUACUUAUAAACUGCAUCUGAACAGGGAACAGUCUGCCACAUUAAUGUAUUUUUUAAGUGACUUGUUUCUAAUACAUGGAUUUUUCUCUUACAGAUGUCAAAGUCUCAACCUCAUGUUGCCCUCCCCCAUCCUCCUAAAGUGGUGUCGGAGAGGCGGAUGCUGUCCAAGAUAAAGACAAUGUUGGAUAACACCUCCCACCCACUCCAUGACAUGUUGGUCAGUCACAGGAGCUCGUUCAGUGAGAGACUGAGAUUACCGAAAAGCACCACUGAACGACACAGGAAAUCAUUCCUGCCUGUGGCCAUCUCCCUGUACAACGCAUCCACUUAACACACUGUUUGCUGCAACAACUACACAUGUUUCUUUUCCAAAUAUUUAUUUAUAAGUGACUUAUGUAUGUAUGUAUGUAUAUAUAUGUAUAUAUUGUACUAUUCUUAGUUAGCGUAUUGUCUGUCUUGUCUUAAUGUUGGUUUAAAAUGGAGCACUGUAACAAAAAAUAAUUUCCCCCAGGG
ensembl:lncRNA